UUCUGGGCAAUGUGUCUUUUACUGUAGUAAAAAAAGAGAUAAAAAUUCACUGUAUAUUUGAUUACACCUUGUAUGUACAAAUUCCCCAGGACAAAUGCAAUUAUUGGGUAUCACAAACGUGUACCACGGUGCUCACCAUGACUCACUCGUGUGGAAGAAUUCUGCGCCUCUGUCUGUGCAGGGAGAGGGAGAGGGAGAGGGAGAGACAGAGACAGCCGAGUGGCAGGCUGCUACACACGUCACGGGGCUGGGGGAGGAGCCAAGGCUGGGCGGAGAGAAAUACUUUUCUUUGAUUCUUCACUUGCCUCCAUAUUGUGUCACUUGCUACAGUGCAUAGUUAUUUCUUUAAUAAGCUAAAAUACUGGGUGCGUUUCCUAGGGACCAGCUCUGCCUGGGACCGCACCCUUCAGUGUCUGAGUGCUCCCGCAGCCUGCGACCCUGUCUUCUUAGUGGCCGCCUGCCUCGGGCCGCUCAUGGCCUGUCCUCCAGCCAAGUUGAGAUCCGGGAACUGGGGUCAUGGGCGGACGUGGUGUUCAUCACUCUGAGAUACACAGAAGGGACACCAAGCCCAGCAUGGACCAUGACUUCAGAGAUGGAGAAACUGAGGCCAGCUGGGGACACAACUUCCCACUGCAGUCACAAGAAGACCCGGACCUUCUGUCUUUGUCACCGUGGAGACCCUGGAGGAGGAUGGAGCUGGGGCUGGCAGGAAGGGGGCCCGAGCUCUGGUUGGAGGCCACAAAAUGCCACCUUCUGAAGCAACUGUGGUGUCGUACACCUGUGAUCCCAGCAUUGGGGAGGCCGAGGCAGGAGGAUAUCUGUAAGUUCGAGGCCAGCCUGGGCUACGUAGCAACUUAGCCUGUCACUGAGUGCACUCAGUAGGGGUAUAAUCUCCAGUACCAAGCAAAUAAAAACUAUGGUGCUUCCUCUUCACUGUUU
rnacentral:lncRNA from 1 species